AGAGAGAGAGAGAGAGAGAAGAAAGUAAAGAGAAACGAAGGGCCAGUAUGUCCUUCAACUAGUCCUUUAGAGAGAAAGUAAAGAGAAACUUUUUAAAGAAAAGGGAAAUGAAGGUCUAGUAUGCCUUUCAACUAGUCCCUCAUAAUGCAAAUGAAUAAAGAGAGAAGGCAAGAUUGCUUUUCACCCAGAUCCUUUAAAGAAUAAAAUAACAAAAGAAGCAAGAAAGUUAAGAGAGAAGAGAAAAGGAGAAGAGAGAAAAAGAAGAAAGAGAAGAAAGAUACAGACGGAAGCUUAACUACCAUUUGUGAUGAGAGAGAAGAGAGAAGGAGAGAGCAUAAAUGGUGGCUUAGUUGCCGUCUGAAGAGAGAGAAGAGGGAAAGAGAGAGCACAGACAGUGGCUUAGUUGUUGUCUGAAGAGAGAGAAGAGAGAAAGUGAAAACACAGAUGUGAAGAGGGAGAAGUGAGAAAGAGUGAGCACAGACGGCGACUUAGCUGCCAUCUAUGAAGAGAGAGAAGUGACAAAGAAAGAGUACAAACGGAGGCUUAACUGCCGUCUAUGAAGAGAGAGAAGAGAGAAAGAGAGAACACAAACAGUGGCUUAUCAAAGAGAUAAGGAAGGGAGAGAGUACACAACAGGUGGCUUAUCUAUCGUUUGUGAAAGGAGAGAAGAGAGAGUAUACACAAAUGGUGGCUUAUCUGCCAUCUGUGAAAGGAGAGAAGGAAGAGAGAAAGUACACAGAUGGUGGCUUUGCUACCAUUUGUGAAAAGAGAGAAGGUAGAGAGAGAAUACAUAGAUAGCGGCUUAACUAUCAUUUGUGAAAGGAGAGAAGGAAGAGAGAGAAUACAUAGACGACGACUUAACUGUUGUCUAUGAAAAGAGAGAAGGAAGAGAGAAUGCACAGACUGCGGCUUAACUGCCGUCUAUGAAAGGACAGAAGGAAGAGAGAGAAUAUAUAGAUGAUGGCUUACCUAAUGUCCGUGAAAGGAGAGAAGGAAGAGAUAGGAUACAUAAACAGCGGCUUAGCUACCAUCUGUGAAAGGAGAGAAGGAAGAUAGAGAAUACACAGACAACGGCUUAGCUACCAUCUGUGAAAGGAGAGAAAGAAGACAGAGAGUACACAGGCAGCUGCUUUAGCUGCCAUUUAUGAAAAGAGAGAAGGAAGAGAAGGAAAGAAGGGGAGAGCACACGGACGGUGGGUUAGCCACCGUUUGUGAAGAAAAAAUAUAAGAGAGAGAAAGAGAAGAGAGAUAAUGUAGAGACCGCAGCAAGGCCUGCCAAAAAGGGUAGGCCCACAUUGCUGUCCCUGGGAAGAGGGAGACAGAAAGAGAGAGAAAACAAAAAGAAAGGGAAAGAAGAAAAGAGAGAGAGAAGAAAGAAGAGAAAAUAGAAAGGAAAGAAGAAGAGAGAUAAAGGAAAGAAGAAGAGAGGGAAAGGGAAGAAGAAGAGAGAGAAAAGAAAGAAGCAAAGAGAGAAAAGAAAGAAGAAGAGAGCGAAAAAAGAGAGAAAGAAGAUAGAAGAGAGAGUUACCUCGAUGACUGAGGGGUACCCAUUAAAAUAUUCUCUCUCCUCUCUCUCUCUAAACCAUGACCCAAAACUCAAGCAAAAGCCAAAUUUUAAUUGAUCAAGAUUGUGUCCUUUACAUGUGAGCAUCACGUGCUUAUAUAUAAUUUAAAUCCAAACAUGGGUGGAUGCUCAAUUUUUAACCUAAUUGUAGAAAAAUAGGAAUUAAAUGAAUUAAAAAAAAUUAAGAAAUUAGGUACAAAAUGAUGAUUUUGGCCCUCACCCACAAAUCUUGAAAUUCCAAUUAAGUCUCUUUCAUGGCCAUGCAACCUUCGCGAUCUUCCGGGGUCCGUUUGGGGUCCUGGUUUCAUCCAGCCAAAAGAUUAUUCUUUUCUUGAUCGUCUUGGGAAGACGAUCGUUUUGAUACCCAUUUCGAACCAUGGAUCGGACUUUUGGGCCACGAUCACGAGAUGUAAAAAUCAUGAGAAACAUGUGAUCUUUGAUUCAAGAUCACGUGUUUCUCCAUUUUUUUCAUGAUUUCUUUAUUGUACUUUGAAGAGCAUGCCGUCAUGAGCAUUUUGGCGACAAAAGUGGCUCGAUUUGGUGUCCGAACGACCAUUUUCCAAAUUUGAUAUUUUGACCAAAGUUUGGUUUCUGAUGGCCGAAAAUUGCAGCAACUUCGACUCCAUAGUGCAACGAAUUUGACCGUUCAUCACGUACAAGAUUUAGCUCAAAUGAAGCCUCAGACCUCAUGCUCGUAAUGGGCUUGAUUGUGCGUCGAUCCAAUGCGUGAGCGCCGUGAUGUGGGCAUUCGAUUGAGGGGACGUGCAGAUGGAAAUUUCUUGCUUCUUUUGGAACUUUCCAACGAACUUAUCUCUUUGAUUUCUCUCGGCUCGGGCCGUGUCAUCAUGUGUGCCAUAUAUCAAAUCGAUCGGGUCGAUGAAAUGAACAUGCUCCCAAAAUUUGGGCUCGAUCUGACCUGGGAUGAGGAAGAUACAACCAUGUGACGUUUGCCCCCGAAAUUGAGAACCACAGUUUUCAUUAAUGAAAAUUGGUUCACCAAGGGUGCACCGUAAUAGUCUCAGAAUGAUCCAAGAAGGUUCCAGAUUGUGCACUGUAAUAAAAAUUUUAUAGCUUCCGUAGCCCACAAGUUUUGGUACCUACGGAUAAGGGUCACAAACUGCUUUCUCCUUAUUCACAUCAGGGAUACAAGUGUUGAAAAAUACCUUCAGACAGUGACAUCAUCCAUAUGGGAAAUAACAUUACCCACCUGGGGCAUUAAAUACCACUAGUGUGUCAUGUAGGUGACAUCACACCCUAUGUAAAUGUCCUCACACCCUCCAAAUGACCAAAAAUACCCUUAUUAAAAAAAUAUUCUAUGUAUAAAAUAAGGGUAUAUAGGUGUCCACAAUUGUUGACUACAAUGAUAAAUUACUCCACAUAUGAGCACCCUAACAUAACCCCCCCCCACACGCACACAUAUNNNNNNNNNNNNNNNNNNNNNNNNNNNNNNNNNNNNNNNNNNNNNNNNNNNNNNNNNNNNNNNNNNNNNNNNNNNNNNNNNNNNNGGAAAAUGCUGAGAAUAGCCCACUAGCUCAUAUGAACAUAUGAGCCCAACGAUCUAGACUGAAUCUGGGCCGAUCUAACGGUAACGACCUCAUUUUGUGUUUGAAUUUUAAUUGUUUUUCUACGAAUCCAAAUAACUUGAAAUUUUAGGAGUUCAUUCUUGUUUAUGAUACAAAAUCUAACAGAUCUGGAUAAUAGCCAGCAACUCCCUCAGUAUAGGGUGGUUGUGCCCUAUAGAUGGUUCUAGGCUCUCUCGGGUUUUAGGUUUGAAGUUCCAAGAGGCUAGCUCUAAAGUUUCUCAUCUCUUUAAAGCUCUAGGGUCUCCAUCUCUAUCUCUUUAGGUUUUUCUCUCUCUCUAUGUCCAAUCGUAUUCUUUGUCCCCCCUCAAAUGACCACGAAAAGAGGCCUUAUAAAAGCUUGUUGGAAAGGAUAUGCACGCAUGACCAACAAAUCCCUCGAUCAAAGAUGCACAUUUUGAGGGUCACAGAUUUAGGCGGCAUGGGUCUUGUCGCCGGGGGGCGGCACGGGUCGUGUAACCCAAGUAAAUUGAAAAAGUCAAAAUUCAAUUUGGGGCUAGUCAGAACUGGGCGGCACUGAGAGUGUCAUCUGGGUGGCAUGGGUUCUGUCACUUGAGCAGCACGCCCCAUGUCGCACACACCAAUUUUGGUCCAAAUUGAGACUUUUUACUUCUGGUGUGUUCUUCAGCCUCUUGUGAAGUUCUUAAAGAAAAUUUGAGUCAAAACGGAUUAUUUUACUAUUUUACUGAAUUUUUUGGUAAAACAGGGUGUUUACAGAAAUAUGGGUCAAAACAAGGUUUCUACAGGGUUCCAGGUAAGAGAAUUGGUUCUAGGUCACAGGAUAGAUUGUGUCAACUAUGGAUUUGGGUUUACUAGAUGAAGUAUGAUCCUAAGGGUUCAGGAAACCACAGAAUUUGCCAUAUUUAAAAUGGGGUGUCUACAUUUGCCCCUCUUUGGCACUCCUUGUCCUUUGGGGGACAAGUGAGUGGCAAAGAAAUAGACACUUUGACGAUCUCUGUCCUUUGAGGGAUAGGUGAACGUCAAAGAUAAAGCAAAUCCUGAAGUCACGUGGUCAGGGGGCACACCAACUAUUCCCUCCAAAUGCGCUCACCGAGCUCACUCACCUAGAGCAUUUUUCCCUCUAGGCUUUUCGGCGUGAGAUGUCGGUGAGUUACACAAGCUUGAAACUCGAGUUGGAUUUUCUGACCGUGUCACUUAACUUCUGGGGUUUUGCAGUUUGAAAUUUUUAACCCUGGCAUUUUCUUUGAUCUCCUUAGGAUUUCCUAAGGUUGUCUAUGGUAAAGGAAUUUUAUAGGAAGAGACUUGUCUGGUUGAAUCCGAAGAGAGAGACGAGGUAGUAAUGCGGUAAUCGCAUCAACGUGGGAAUCGCAGUAACACAGUGAUCAUCACAUAUGGGUGUCGAAUCUCCUUUGUUUUAAAAGUCUUUUAAGAAAAAUUGAACUUAGGGGAAGAUUUAAAAUAGAACUCGGAGCAGGGACAGGUUACGAUUUUAAUAAAGAAAUAAAAGUUUUUGAAAACACAUGACAUAUAGUGAAAAUUUUAAAAAGAGGAAGAUAUUUCGAAAACAAAGUUGGUUAAUAAUUUUAACUCUUGCAACCAUAGAACCCUCUAAGAAAUUUAGCGUCAUGCAGCAAUGGACCAUCACUCGACCCUUUUACGUCAUAUGGGGAUAGAAAUUUUCAUUGAAUAGGGUUGUUGUGCCCUGAACACACCUGACCUUUUACGUCAUAUGGGGAUAAACGUUACCCUUCUCAGCUCUUUCACGUCGCAUGAUUUUGACAUAGAACUGAAUUGGCUUUAGUUGUCAGUUUAGGCUCAUGCCACCAAGGAGCAUUUUCUCUCUCUCUCUUUUUUGUUAUAUCAUUAAAGGGGUAAAACAAGGUUCAAGCUGGGAGACACGACGCAUGCCGCCUGGGUGACACGGGGCACAUCACUCAGUCUUAGGUACGGACUUGGGCGACACGGGGCGUGCCGCCCAGUCCACCAACCCCCAAAUUUCAUUUUUAUCAUUUUGUUCAGUUUUAGGGUUAUCUAAACCCUCUGUUGGCCAAAGUGGAUAGCCACAAGACGAGUUUUGAGUCAGAUUUCUUGCUUUCUAUAAAAAUCAAACUCCUUUCCAUUCUCUCUUCAUCCUUCAAGCUCUUCUUUCUUCUUCACAACUUCAUCUUCUUGCUUUCUUCAUCGUUUUCCCUCUGAUCUUGCUAGUUUUUCUUCUUCUUACUCUUACAGUUUCAUGGCUCCUAGGAAAGACGAUACGGUUUCCAAGGGCAAAGGGAUGGUUUCUAAGCAGGCUAAUAAUGGAAGAGAUGAGGAGGCUUCCCCUCUUUUUCCUAGAGUUAGGCACUUCCCUGAAAGUCUGCCCUCUCACAUCCCGUAGGGCUUCGAUCGGGCGAAGUUCCUCGAAGUGUCAAUGGCUUUCCCAUCAUCGAACCCUAGUUCCGGGAUUGGUUUCUUUCCGCUCGGUAGUGGCUCAAGCUCAUGACUCUUCUGGCUUCAAUUUCGAUGAUAGGCAUCUUGAACAUGGCCUCUUGCCAUGUGAAAUUUCCACUCCUUGAGGCUCUUGCUGAGAGGUUCAACUAUCAGACUAUCAGACGAACACUUUCUUUUUUUCCACAUGUGACACAACGCCAACUUUGGAGGAAGUUAUCAUGAUUUAUGGCUUGAACGUGGCCGGUAUUGGAUAUCAACCUUCCACUGCCAUCGACGACCAUUCUAUCACUGUUGGGGGCUGUUUAUUCUUCUCAUGGUCAGUGGGUUGAUACAGAGUUGCUGGUCCAAAAUUGAGAGCAAUCUCGAGCUGCCGAACAAAUUCGUAUUUUUCUUUUUGUGUUGUUGGACUCCAUUCUCUUUCCGAGUGGUCGUAAGAUGGUUCGCAAUUCCCUUUUUCCUUUAGUCCAUGCCUUAUGGGAACUAGCGGGUUACACGGGCAUAUACUAGGGUCUUCACGACAGGGUCACGUGAGGUGGCCGAUUUAUUGAGGGUAGUGUCUUGAUUUUGCAGGUAUAUUUUUUAACAUAAUUUUAUUUUAUUUUGUCCCUGAAACUUAGUUUUUUGUCUAGGUUUUGGGCUCUGAAACCCAUAUUUUUGUCACAAGAAUUAAUUGGAAAAAGCUCGGCUUGAUCCAAGAGGGUCUCAGUUGGGCGACACUACCAGUGUCGCCCAAACCAAUUUCCCCCGAUCAUUCCGGGGUUCUUGAAUUUUUAUUGUGUGACCUUUUGGGAUGCUUUUGACUCCUGUUUUCUAAAGAUUUGGGCCUACGAACAUGUCACUGUUGUCCGCCCUACUCGGUCAAUGAUAGUUAUAUCUGCUGCUCUGGGACUAGCAUAUGUCAACGACACCACUUGACCCUAGGAUGUCAAUUAUUAUCAGAGGAUUCUUGACGAGUUUUCUUCAUUCGAUUAGGUGAUCAAGGGUCUUGAAAACAUAUCCCUAUUGCUUCCUACUUUAGGGCAUUCAUGUUCUAUUCUGGCAGGGCUGAACUUCACAGAGGGAUAUUUCCCUCAGAGGGUGCUUUGCCAGUUUCGCCAUACUCAGAAUUACACUUCUCCAUGAGAGGUGAUCGAUCGUCGCCCUAUCUUUCUACUUCGUCGACACUCUUCAACCCUUCGGGUCAAGGCAAGUUUGUCAUGGAAGGGAAAGAAGUACUCUUUUAGUGAGGGGUUAGCUAAGCAAGACAAGCCCACAACCACUCGAACUAUGAUUCUUGGUGGGACGUGCCUGUCCUCUUUCACUAUGCCCCAGAUCCUCGAGAUUUUGUGGCGAGUCUUAUGUUCUUGCUCAGGAUCUCGUGCCUCAUCGAGAAGAUGGUGCCUCUUGUUCAAAUAAACGAAUCAAAUCCAAUGAGGACAUAUGUGACCUCAACUUGGAAGAAGCUGAAGUAGAAUUGGCUCGAUGGGUGGCCUUUGUGGCAAAACUCAAGGAGCAGGAUGUUGAUCCGAAACCGAAGACUGAAUAGCCAAAAUAUUUUCUUUUCUUUAUUUUGUCCUUGGCACGAAUAAGUUGAUCUCAUGAUCAGCAUUAUUUUUCAAUAAUUUUAUUUUUGUUGAAGUCUGUUAAGAUAGUAGGAAUUUGAGUCAUAGGACCAAGUUUAAUGGCGUGCACGCCUGUAAUAAGCCCAUUUUAAUGGAUGAAUAAAAGUAGAGUUUUGAGAUACCCAAAAUUUUGUUUUCUAUUCUUCUUGAUCUCUCUUUUUUCUUUUCUUUUUUUUUUUUACUGCCCCUGUUGGGCGUCUUUUAACUUGUACAUGUGCAAUUGAUUUAUCGAAGCAUAGCGGGAUACUUUCUUUGCAAACAUCUUUCAAAAUUUUACAAACCCAGCCCCCUAGUUGUAGGGUUUUUGUCUCGAAUUUCCAGCUAUUGGGUCAUCAUACACACACAUAGGAAUAAGCUUGCCUCAUUUUGCCCAAGGGCAUCCAGUCGGGAGAAAGACGCUCCCAAACUAGCCAAUUUCAUCAUUGACGAGGUUCACCCAUCUCUUAUAUGUGGUAGUUAGUAUUUAUACUCUUACAACCAUGGAGUGCCUGACUAGUGUUGAGCUUUCAUAAUAGGCAUAGAAAGUUGGCUUCAAGAAUGAGGCCAGAUGACUAACAGUCUAACCUUUUGUAGUGAUGGAGGAAGUCCUUUCUAAAAGGAUUUUGAAAAUGGACAAUUUAAAAGUCCAUUUGAAAAGCAUUUUCAAAAAGAACGGGUGUUACAGUUUUGCCACCUGUGGCCCUUUGGUGGUCAUUUUCUUUAUCAAUUUUUUACCCCGAGAUGAUGAAAGGAUUUUCUUGUGGGAUCGUGAGAACUCAGGAGUCUCGAAGUUGUCCUUUUACCUUUGGAGCUUUCAUCUUGUGCUUCACGGAUCCAUAAAGAAUUCUUUGGAUUCUUGUCGGACUUUCAUCUUGGAGAGGUCUCGAUAUUAUCCUAGGGUUUGUCGAAAUCACUUUGGUUUUCCAUUCAUGUCACCCCUCUACAUCUUUCUGAGUUGGUUCUGUUGGGAGCCUGCAGGGUUUAGGAGGAGUCUUCAUCCUCAGGGUCUGCUUGUGCAUUAUUGUUGAAACUUACAAGUACUUAUUUGUACUUGAGUGUUUUGGGUCGAAAGCUCCCUCUUGGAGAUUUUUUUUUUUUCCUUUUGCCCGCGAUGCCUUUUUAGGUUUUCACUACAUCCUUUUUUUUUUUUCUUUAUAUUCUUUCAUUUUUUCUUUUGAGAUGCCUUUUCAAGUUUUCACCAUACUUUUGAGCCCGUUAUGGGUAAUAUUUUCUAAGAUACAUUGCAUUAAUGGGGUCAUUGAGUUCAUACCCCUCCUGAUUUUUAAUAUUAUACGAAUGGCCUUCAUCCACUCUGGAAAUCAUGAAUGGCCCCUCCCAAUUAGGUUUGAACUUGCCUAAAGGGUGUGGAUUUGCAGGAGUGUGGAAGAUUUUCUUGAGUAUCAUGUCUCCUUCUUUGAACUGUCGAGGAGCAACUUUUCUUUGAUAUGCCCUCUCGACCCUACGCUAAUAAGCAACGAUAUUUUGUGUCGAUCGUAGUCGUUUUUCUUCCAAAUUAAUGGGAGCAGUGAUUCGUCCUUCGAUCGUUUGUCCCUCAUCUAAAUUUCUAUGAAUGAGCACUCGGAGAGAUGUUAUCUCAACUUCAAUGGAUAGCACUGCUUCCAUAUCAUACACCAUUGAGUAUGGGGUCAUGCCAGUACGAGUCUUCUCAGUUGUCUGGUUGGCCAAUAGGGCGUCGUUUAGCGUUUCGUACCAAUAUUUUCCACAUUUUAUGAUUCUUUCUAUUAUUUUGAGAAGUCCUUUGUUUGUGGCAUCCGCUUGUCCAUUUCCUUGAGGGUAGUAAGGUGUGUAAAAUUUCUGCGUUAUCCCGAAUUUUUUACACACCUUAGUGACCCUUUCAUUGUUGAAAUUGAAUCCAUUGUCAGUAAUGAUUGACUCAUGAACACCAAAUCUGAAUACAAUGUUGUUCUUUAUGAAACGGGCAACAUGUUGUCCUUCUAUUUUGACACAUGAUGCGGUCUCUACCCAUUUUGUGAAGUACUCUAUAGUCGUAAAUAUAAAAUGGUGACCGUUUGAGGCUUUUGGUGAUAUCAUUCUGAUGACAUCAAGACCCCACAUGGCAAAGGGCCAUAUGGGGGGUGUUGAGUUGAGUGGUACGGAUGGUGCAUGGAUGAGGCCUCCAUAAAGUUGACAUUUGAGACAUCUCUUAACGAACUUCUAAGAAUCUUCAGUCAUGGUGGUCCAGUAAUAGCCUUGGCGCCUAAUUUUCUGAGCUAAGGCAGCUGCCCUAGAAUGACCUCCUUCAUUGUGUAACUCUGUCAGUACUUGGUCGAUUUCUGGCUGAUCGAGACAUCGUAGAAUGAUGUCAUCUAAUGAUUUCUUGAACAGGAGGUCACCUCUUACCAAGAUUCCCAUCGAAAACCUUCGAAGGUCUUCUUUAUCUUUUUUGGUGGCUCCUUCGGAUAGAACAUCGUGGAACCAUGGUUUUGCCUUAACUAACGCAUCUGAAGCCACAAGAGACACUUCCCCAUCGUUCUCAUUUUCUUACUCUAUUUCUUUUUCGAUCCUUGGUGGGGAAGGGUCAUUUUUUGUCCUGAUGUAGAAUGGAAGCGUGGUGAUUUCUGGGGGAAUAUCAAUUAUUGAGGCAAGGGUUGCAAGAGUGUCGGCGAACCGAUUAUUUUCCCUAGACACGUGCUAGAAGGUGAUUUUCUUAAAAUAUGGGAUCAUCUUUUCCACCUUUUUUUGAUAAGGUUUAAGCUUUUCUUCUUUCACCUUCCAAAUCCCUUGAAUUUGGUUUAUGACAAUUAAGGAGUCACCAAUCACUCGUAUUUGCUGGAUUUUCAUUCUCAUGGCGCUCUCGAGCCCAGCUAUCAAGAAUUCAUAUUCAGCAAUGUUAUUGGUACAUGGUAAAUUCAAUCUAAUGGCUAUUGGCAUUAAAAUCUUCUCGAGUGAGCAUAGUAUGGCUCCUAUACCUGACCCCCGUAUUCAUUCUUUACACCGUCGAAGUUUAGCUCCCAAAUUGAAUCCUCAAUUGUGCAGAGGUUCCCAUCAGGGAGAUCCGUGUUGACGAGAAUGUUAUCUGACAGUGUGUGUUCAGCUAAAUGGUCAGCAAUGACUUGUCCUUUGACCGAUUUUUUAGUGACACACUCGAUCUCGAACUUGCUCAACAGCAUUCUCCACUUCGUCAAACGUCCAUUAAGGACUGGUCUCUCCAAUAGGUACUUGAGUGGGUCUAUUUUUUUUAUGAGCUUGACUAAAUAAGAUAAGACAGAAUGUCUUAACUUCUGCAUAACCCAAACAAGUGUUAAGCAAUGCUUCUCCACAUUUGUGUAUCUUGUCUCAUAGUCAACCAUGGUUUUGCUGAUGUAGUAUAUCAUUUGUUCUUUUUCAUGGUUGUCGUAUUGUCCUAACAUUGCCCCCAUGGUCUUGUCUUUCACAGAUAUGUAUAGGAAUAAGGGGUUUAUCUAGACUUAGAGGACUAAGGAUGGGUGGUUUGGUGAGGUACUCCUUGAUUUUAUCAAACGCUUCUUAGCAUUCAUUAUCCCAUAGGAAUGGGGUAUCUUUCUUAAGAAGUCUAUUGAAUGGUGCGCACUUGUCUGCUAGUUGUGAAAUGAAACGUCUUAUGGCUUGUAUGUGACCUUGAAGCCCACAUAUUUCUCUAAUAUUUUGGGGAGGGGGCAUUUUUGUAAUGGCUCGUAUUUUGGACGGGUCCACCUCAAUGCCCCUUUGGCUUACUAUAAAUCCUAGUAAUUUGUCAGAUUCAACUCCAAAGGUACAUUUUUUUGGAUUGAGUUUGAGUUGAUGUUUUCAGAGUCUUUCGAAAAUGGUUCUCAGGUUGGUGAGAUGAUCAAACCUGGUCUUCGACUUGACCUGAAUGUCGUCAACAUAAUCUUCCAUAAUGGUAUGCAUUAAGUCAUGGAAGAUACUAAUCAUUGCCUGAUGAUAAGUUGCCCCUGCAUUUUUUAGACCAAAGGGCAUGAUGUUGUAGCAGUAAGUUCCCUAUUGUGUUAUGAAUGAAGUCUUGGUUUCAUCUUCUUUUUCCAUGAGGAUUUGGUUGUAACCCGAGAAGCUGUCCAUGAAUGACAACAUCUCGUGCCCUGCAGUGUUGUCCUAUAUUUAGUAACAGGAAAUUGUCUUUGGGACAUGCCUUGUUGAGGUCUCCAUAGUCGUACUCGGAUCCUCUCGUACUUUUUGGGUACGACCACUAGGUUGGCCAACCAUUUGAGUAAUCGACGGGUGUAAUGAACUUCACCUUGAGCAGUUUAUCAAUUUCUUCCUUAAUUUUGAGCUCAAGGUGGGUCUUUUGAUGUCGAAGUUUCUGCCUUACAGGCUUUGCCGCUUCAUUGAAUAUUACAUCAUGUUGCACCAACAUGGGAUCAAACCCUGGCAUAUGAUCGUAUGACCAGGCGAAGACAUCUCUAUAUUCCUUGAAAAAGGAAAUCAUAAUUUCCCGCUCCUCAAGAGAUAGGGAGGUUCCAAUCUUGGUUAACCUUGGGUCCUUCUCAGUUCCUAUGUUCACAAUGAUAGCCGUUGGGUCACCAUCGAACCUCUUCUUGAAUUGCUUGACAUGGGAAGUGAGUUCCUCAGGUUGAGAGAUUUUCUUAGACUCUUGGCUCUCUUGAUCUUCGUCUUGGUCAUCCAAUUCGCCAUCUUGGGUGUUGUGCACCAUUAUUGGUCUAUCUUGAAUGUUCGCUUGUUUUUUAAAAUUCUUUCCAUUAUCAUUAGUUUUAUCAUGUUUUGAAUUUUCAACAGUGGAUUUUGAAAUAUCAGAAGAGGUAUCCCUUAUGGGACUUUCGAGAGUUAUGUUGAGGACUGGAUGCGCAGGGGUGGUUAGAUGGCCACCCUGCGUCGAUCCGUUUUUUGGCACCGGAACUUGAAGGUGCCGCUUGUAUGCUUCCAGCGAUGUUGGAGAUAGAGGAGUGAUUGAUCAAUUUCGUUCCUGGGUUUGAAUAGGCGGAUGAGCAUGCUUGGCUACGUUAGAGCCAAUUGUGCAUACCUUCAAGUCCAGGUUAGCAAAAAGGUCUUCAAUUCCUAGUUCUUGUAUGUGCUGAGAUGUAGAAGAAGAAUUAUUUCCCGUUGGGGAUUCAACAGUCACCUUUGGCCAUUUGAAGGACGGACGUCGGGAGGAUCGAGGCUUUGAAUGCCUCUAGAUACAAAGCUCGGAUAACGUGAAGGCUCCAUCCGGCUUUGAAAUAGGGUGAGAGUGCACCCGAGUCCUCUUCGAUUCCCGUUUUCAGUUUUAGCUUGGGGUGAUGCAGAAAUUGCCUCCCUUAAGCCUUGUCUUGACUCCCUAAGCUUUGGCCUAGUUGGAAGCCUUAAGAGAAGAGCAUGUCUAAGCCUCGAGGGACCCAAAGCAGUAUUAAUGUUAACAUUGGAUAAUCUCUUCCAUCGAUGCGGAAGUUUGUAAAAUUUGAGAAACAGGGUCACUGGCCUCUUGGCGUAAGGUGGCACAAUCAGCUUGCUCGAAGGAAGCGAGUGGGAUUUCUCCAAGCUCGACCCCUAUGGCUAGCGGCCCAUUAUGUAUACUAGGAUUGAGAAAAGCAGGGGGUUCAGCACAUACCUUUGCGACACCACUUUUGUUCAGAAAUUUUAGGUAUUGAUGGAGCAUAGAUGCGACCACGAGGUUUUCAUGCAACAAUAGUCUUCCUAACAGCAGGUUGAAUGAAGUUUUAUGUCCAAGAUAUAAAACUUUAUCAUUUGGACAAUAGGACCGAUCUUGAGUGUGAGAGGCAAUAUGCCUUCAGCUUGUCUCUUGGUCCCGUCGUAUGCGACGAUAAUUUGUUAGCACGGCUCGAAGUCAUCUGGGCAUUUGCCUAUUUGCUUCACCAUUUUCAUAGGGCAUAUGUUGAAGGAUGCCCCAUUAUCAACAAUAACUCUUCGUAUUUCAUAUCCUUGCAUGAAAACAGUGACGUGCAGAGGGUGGACAUGAAAACGGUUGAAGCUACCUAGGAUGUCAUCAUCCAUGAAUACAAUUGGCAUUGGUUCCAUCAAUUGUUUGAUCAUUCCACACAACUCGUCCGGUUGUGUGUUGCUCAGGAUGUGUGUCUUAGCAAGAACCCUUUCGAUCUGGGCUCUGCGUGCGGGCGAGUAACUCCAGGAUGGAGAUUUGAGCCUGGAUCUUUCCGAGAUGAGUCGGUAGAUCGUAGUGGUUGCAGAUCCUUGAGUUUCUUUAUUCGACUCAUGAUCUGCGACCCCAGCUAGUUGUUUGGCUUUCGAGGUGUUUCCCAUUCUUUUAUUGAGAGUGUCAGCCAUCAGUUGAAUGGGUUUGAACACUCAGCUUUUUCAGGUUAAGGAAUCAACCUCGCCAUCCAGAAGCUCGAUAGGGUCGACCCUAGCAAGAGUAAUGGGAGACUUUAGGGUGUUAGCCCCUUGUUUGGAAGAUGGCAUCUUUUCAUUGGUCCUGACCAUAUCGAUUUCUAAUGUAUCACCUUCACCAUAUUGAUCCCAUUUGGGAAGGUUGUCGAGGUUUGGAGAUGAAGGGAUUCCUCUUAGAAGGUCUAAUAUUUUUCGGGUUUUUGGAGGUAAUGAUCACAAGUAAAUAUGAACUGACUUAGAUCAUCUUCUUCAUCUCCACUUUCAACCAUGUGAAUGGCAAUGUUCUCUUUUGCGUUGUCUUGAGCUCCGGGCUUUGUCAGUCGUUGUGACCAUAUUUUUAGGGAGAGGAUAUGUGAAGAUACCCAUCUUUUUAUUAGGUUCUUCAACGGGUUGAUUUCUAGGCGCGACAGUGAUGUUCCCCCUAUUUAUUAACUCUUGAAUCACCCAUUUCAAAUAUAUACAGUUUUGGGUAUCAUGAGCAUGGUUUUGAUGCCAUUUGCACCACUUUCUCUUAUCAGUGACAUGAAACGGUGAUUCAGAUGGUGGCGGGAGGUAAACCAUGUUUCUAGCCAGGAGUAAUUUCAGCACUUUUUCUAGUGGGUCUUUGAGAGGAGUGAAAUUAUCCUCUUGCCUUUGGUUAUUAUUUCAAGUGUUGGCUCUAGGCUAACCCCUUCAGUUUUGGUUCUGAUUGUUGUGCUGAGUGGCUGAACCUUGAGCAGGUCCGUUAACGACAAUUUCAUUAACCUGACCGAAAGUCGUUCCCUUGCUAUUGUUUUUUAUCUUAUUUUGGGGAGUCGUUAUUGGUUUAUUGUCGAGCUUGAUGCUGUGGAUUAUCCCUCUUGCCCGUUCAUGUCGCACCACCCGCUCAAUCAUGGAGUCAAAAGAGUGGGGGAUAAAACCAUGGUUGAAAAAGGUCUUGUAUUCAAGAACGACAUUCUCCAUGGCCAUAGAGAUUUGGCUAGGUCUGUCAGUGGGCAUUCUAUGACCCGAAUUGCCGCCUCACAAAACUUAUGGAUGAAAUCCUCGAAGGAUUCUCCUGGACUUUGCUUUGUUGCUCUGAGCUCGCCCAGGGAUAGAGAUCUUCGUAUCGACCUGCAAUAGUGAGAGACGAAUAGGUUGAACAUUUCGUCUCGAGUGCUGUGUGGUUGAGCGGACAUUGUUCUCCGAUGCCAGUUUAAGGCCUCACCGGUCAGUGUUUGCGAAAAUAUGGCCUUUAGUUGGUUAGGCAUGUCUCGCAAAGCUCUCAUGGAGAGGAGAUACGUGUUGACGUAAGCAUCUGGAUCGCUCUUCCCAUUAAACGUGUUCCUAAAUUCUGGGACAACAAAUCCCAAGGGAAGGUCCUUCAUGCCUCCCAGGGUCUCUUGAACAUAGGACCUUGGGGGUAGAAUUUCAUGCAGGCCCAUUCUUACGAGCAUAGCAUGCAUUGCUUUUAAAGUGCCUUCUUGUUGAGUAUUUGACGUGACAGUAGGCCCACCGGUCGGUGGGUUCCUAAGCGUAGAUUGAUAAGUUGAAUUCUGGGGUCCACGUUGGCCUGCGUGGGGCUGAGGUUGAUGGGUCAUAGUCACCGAGACGGUUUGAUACAUUUGUGCCUGAGGGGCGUAUUGACCCAUUGGUGUCACCACCGGUUGUGGAAAUGGCACAGUUUGUUGUACCGAGUGAACUAAGGGGACCAAUUGAAGAAUCAUCUGACUCAGUUGUGCUAGGGGUUAACCUAUACCACCAAGUUAGUUUGGCAUCAACCCAUGAGCUAGGCCAUGAACAGUAUAACCUAGGUCAACUAGACUUUUAAGGGCAGCAUGGACUCCUAUCUCGCCUAAGGGUUGGUCUAGAUUGACACCUCUGCUUUGUAUAUUAUUAAAAAUAUCAUGAGCUAUACUGUGGUGGCUCGAGGUUGAGUUGGAUCCCCUAGACCUAGGUGGGCCUUGAUUCUGAGGUCGUUGCACCUUGGAGUUAUCUUGGUUCGAGUUGUGGGAAUUGGCAUUAGAGGCUGCAUGAAUUUCUUCCCUCACUCAACUUCUACUUUGGUUACUUAAAAUCCCCUAUACGAGGACACCUGGUUGAACCCCCUGACUAUUCAGAGUCUUUCAGACUGAAUUGGCUUUUCGGAUCACACCGAUUUCAGGAUUAAGAGUGGAUGCUUGGGACUUUGCCUCUAAUUGAAGACCUGGGUGUUGGAUAAUGGAUUGGCUUGAGGUUUGUUGAUAAGUCCAAGGGAUUGUAGUGUACUGGUCCCUAGGUUUAGGCAGGUUGGGCUUAAAGUCAACCAUGGAACGAUCAUCAUAGUCGCCUUGAGUAACCAACAUGAUGACUUUCUUUGGCUGGGUUCUAGAAUCUAGACUUAGGUAUGAUCUAAACUCGUUGACCUAGGGCAGACCUAGCCUGACUUUAGGGCCAAAACCUUAACUAAGACAAAGGCUAAGACUAGCCUAGAACCUAGACUUUCUAGACUCAAUGGGUUUUGGUUCAGACCCUGAACUAGGGUAAGCCUAGUCUAGCUCUACAGGCAACUCUAAGCUUAGACCUAUGCUAGAACCUAGACUAAGAUCUAGACUAGAUGGGUGCAAGUCUCAGCUCGAACCAAUAGUGGGUCUAGGUUUGGCCUGGGUGUGAGCCUGGUUCGGACCUGGACUGAGCUGGGUGCAAGCCUGAGCUUGGACCUAGAGGGUUGUAAAAAUCAGACCGAGAAUGGACCUGGGCUAGGCUAGGUAUAAGCCUGAACGUGGACCUCGAGAAUUUAGCUUGAACCAAAGGCUGGUGGGGGCUGAGAUCUAAGAUGAACAAAACAGUAAUAAGCAAGCAAGCACAUGAAAACAUUAGACCUAAUUAGCUUGAGAGUGGGUUCUAACUAUUGAAAUGUGGCUAGGCUGAUAUAGGUCCCCACAUAGGUCCUGGCCUCCUGUUAUAGGAUGUUCACCAGGUCCUACUAUAUGCAGAAUGCUUUGAGGCAAAGGUUUACAAAGGGGCGCUCACAGUUAAAGUUACACGAAUCCCAACCUCCUUGACUCUCAAAGGUAGGUUCCCUCAUGCCGUUAACACAGAUUUUGAGGGUUUUCAAAACAUUUGUUUGCUGGUUUCCCGGGCACUCCCGGUUCAGUGUGUGCUAGAGUGUGCAAACAAGCACGCAAUUAAAAUAAAUUCAAGCACACAAUGCACCAAAACAAUAAAGGAAAUAAGUGAGCGCUUGGCACUGAUCAUGCCUAGCGAUGCGCGCUUUGAGGAGAAACUCGCUCGAAGUACGGUAUAGACGGAGGGGUAAGCAACCCCUAAAAAGGUAAAGUCAGAACAAUGAGACCAGGCACAGUCAGUGCUAAGUCGAGCGCAGCCCCAGUCGAGGGUGAUUCGAACAGGACACGGUUCAAGGAGGGUGUAAGCAAUCCUCGAUAUUUUUUUUUUAUUUUUAAAAUUUUUUUAUCUUUUUUAACCUUGAUGAAAUACAGUUAAACUAAGCAUGGUGAAAGCAGGGAAAACAUGGUUUCAGUCAAAAUUAACAGACUAAAAUGAAAUAAAUAAAGUUAGAAGCAACACAGACCUCUUUGAAGCAAAAUAUUUUUUUUAUAUUUUUAAAAAAUUUAUUUUAAGUCAAAAUUUGGUCAACAGAGAGCCAAAAGUCCCUGGAAUAGGCUAUGGGUGUCCCAGAAGUUUUUUGAGGCACUUGCAAUUAGGCAACACUAGUGGUGGCGCCCGGGCGGCACUGCUGGUGUUGCCCUUGUAGAGUGGACGACACUACUAGUGUCACGCAAAAAAUUAUUUUUUUAUAUUUUUUUCUUGUCAAAAUGGAUGAAGCAAGAAAAAAUAUAUAUUUAAAAUGAAAUAAAUUAAAACAGAUUAAAGUAUAACAGUUAAGAUGGAACAAUAAAAUAUUUUUUUGGUAUUUUCUAAAAAAUUAUUUUGCUUUGAAAUAUUUUGAGCACUGACAAGAGAGUCCCAUGACCCAGACUACAAAAUUUCAAAAACAAUCUGACUUGGGUAAGGCGUGUCGCUCUGGACCUGGGCGGCACGGCCCGUAUUGCCUGGGCAGCACGCGCUGUCACCUGAGCGGCAUGCCUCAUGUCGCCUGAGUGGCACGCCUAGUUUCACACAAGGCAAACAGGGUUUCAGAGCACCGAAACCUUGGGUCCUUGUCAUAGCCAGGGUUUUGGACCCUUUUUUUUACUGAAAACAGUGAAAAGUAGUGAACAAAAAUCGUAUUUUGAGGCUUGGAUCAAGCUCGAAAUGCACCACGGUGGGCGCCAAACUGUUUACAAUGCAAAAUGUGACAGAUCUGGGAAUAAAGAUCUCUCGGAUUUGACACCGUUAAAUUAUGAAAAUGAAGGAAAUGCAGUGGUAAAGAAAGUGAGACAAACCAAAUUCAGGCCAUAUCUACCCGGAAGUGAGCAUAUGUGCUCUCAGAUCUGUGGCAGGGCCAGCAUGAUCCAAAAAUAUCCAAAAUACGAUUUUUAAGCAAAUUAACCAAAACAGAGCAAAAUAAAAUUAAAAUAACGAAAUAAGAAUAAAAAAGAAGGAAAAAAGUGAUACCGAACCGGGCUAGAUGGUUCGGGAUGCCCGAGCCUUUUGGGGGCCCCCCCGUAUCAAAACCGGUCCUCUUUUGUCUCUUUGAUCCGGAUAUUAGCCAGCAAGUCUCUUUAGUAUAGGAUGGUUGUACCCUAUAGAUGGUUCCAGGCUCUCUCAAGUUUUAGGCUUGAACUUCCAGGAGGCUAGCUCUAAGGUUUCUCAUCUCUCUGAAGCUCUAGGGUUUCCAUCUCUAUCUCUCUAGGUUUUUCUCUCUCUAUCUCCAAUUGCAUUCUUCAUCCCCCUUCCAAUGACCACGAAAGAAGGAUAUGCAUGCAUAACCAACAAAUCCCUUGGUCAAAGAUGCACAUUUUGAGGGUCAUGGAUUUAAGCGGCACGGGUCGUGUGACCAGGGCGACAUGGGGCGUGCUGCCCAAGUAGAUUAAAAAAGUCAAAAUUCAAUUUGGGGCUGGUUGGAACUGGCGGCACUGGGUGUGUCAUUUGGGCGGCAUGGGUCGAAUGGCAUGGGCAGCACACCCUAUGUGGCCUGGGCGGCAUGCCCCGUAUCUCACAUACCAAUUCUAGUCCAAAUUGAGAUUUUUUCACUUUUGUGUGUUCUUCAGCCUCUUGUGAAGCUCUCAAAGAAAAUUUGGGUCAAAACAUAUUUUUGUACUAUUUUUAAUGAUUUGUUUUGUAAACAGGAUGUUUACAGAAAUCUAGGUCAAAACAGGGUUUCUACAUGGUUUCGGGUAGCCGUGACGGUUGCCAGUGUUUAUUUGCAUGAAAAAUAUAUAGGAAUGGACAUAGUAGGUCCCUUACGGUGUUUUAAGCCACGCUGUCUGAAAAAUUGGAUGGCACCAAGCCUCUGGACGAAAUCACUGUUCAUUUUCGCCCAUAGGCGUUGCGUAGGGGCUUUAUAUAUAUAUACACACAUAUACUUUAUAAUGAUCGAGCUAAUAUAUUAUUCCAGUUAGACAGUAGAAGUGAGAAUCCAAGGUCACAAAUUUGAUUCCUCCUCUUUUUCUUAAGGCUUAAAAGAAAAUAUCAUAUAAGUUUUUCUAUUAAAAAAGGGGAGACAAUUGUAUAAGAUAUCAAAUUCAAACAAAUAAAGUAAGGUGCACCUCUAAACUAUAUUGAAAGAUAAUAUUGCAAUACUUAGAAAGUUUUGCAAUGACAUUAUUCGGGGCUGAUUUUUGGAUAUCCGAAUCUCAGAUAAAGCACAAGGAAUCAAAAGAUUGGAUUAACUUUAAUAUAUAAAUCAAAGAGUCCUCAAGCGUAUGGUCAAUCAGUAUGUUAUCUGUAGAGAUACCUCAAACCAAUAAUAUAAGCGAGACUUGCCCUACAAGUCCUCAUAUGCCUUGAAAGUUUUGCAAUUAGCCGUCAUAUAUCUUAACUAUCGGACAUACUCAGGAAUUGUCACAAAUGUCAUUAUAAGACCAGACUGUGGAAUCAAUGAUCCCAAUGCCAAUAUAUGUCGUUUUGCUCUAUUUAAGGGAAGUUUAGAUAUAAGUUGACAAGAUGUGAGGAAUUCCAUUCGUUAAAGGGGUUGGAACAGUCAAAUAUACCCAAAGACUAUCACAAAUCUGAUUUUGAGACUACGAAGGGAUCAAUGAUCCUAUGGAAAAUAUAUGCAUGCCCACAUUAUUAAAGGGUAAUUUGCAUAUAAAUUGACUAGUUUUGGGUCUUCAAAGGUGAACUAUGCAAACCUCACAAAAUCACAUUAAAUCGAGGUGAAAUUUGCAUAUGAUGAUUGUUAGUCAUUAUCUGUCUUCAGUCCGAUAUUCAUAAAGAAUGAACAUCAUUUAAUAGGUCUUCUGAUCCAUCAUAUGUUAAACAAGUUUAAUUGACAAGCCUAUCCACAAUGACAGGGAAGUGUCUUGAAAUAUUUGGUGAAAAUCUGUUUGAUGUUCAAUAACCCCUAUCUCAAGAUUUCAAACAUAUUGGAAGGAGAUCUAGUCCUAUAUCACACUCCUCGGAAGUAAGCUCCUAUGGACACUAUUCAUUAAAGUGCUAAACAGAAGCCGCAAUGAUAUCUAAUAGAUAAAAAUGUCAAAAAACCUAAUAAUAAAAAGUCUUUUUAUGAGACCAAAGCCCUUGGAAUCUUGAUUCAAAGCUUUAUUAUCUUUGUGAAAGUCAGAUCGUAAGAAUUCUCUAUGUGAAAGCACUCCGAACCGUAUCAGAUGUCAUCUCUUGUGAUAGGUUUUAACCGAUGAAAUACUCGUAUCUCCUAAAUUACUAGGAUUUUUCUUGUCAAAUUUGGCAAAGAUGUUCAUCAUGAAGAGCCUCACAACAUAUUUAAAUUUCAUGAUAAAAUAUUAUAAGGGCGUAUUAAUUUUGUCAUCUACUGAUUUCUGCUCAGAAUGGUGGCAGAGAUGCUGAAACUUCAAGGAGGCAUAUAUCUGUCAGUGCUUAUCAAAAUUGAGUGAGACUUGAUCUAUUUGGUUCAUCUCUGAUUUCUUUAUCAGCUUGCAAAAUUUCAUGGAAAAAGGCUUCUUCAUCAAAAAAUUAUGCUCGUCGAAUUGAAGCAUGUUUAGAUGUUCUAACAGUUUUACAAUUGAAGACCAAAUAUAAUUGAUCUCCUAUGUUUUCUCAUGGUUCAAACUAGUUCAUAUGAGUUUGUUUUAGUUCAAAUCCGAAAUCAAAUAAGUAAAAAAAUAUCCAAAGUAACUGCUUUGAAGGAGAUUUAGAAAUCAAAGAGCUCAAAAUUGUCUCUUACAACCAUCACAAGAUAGAAGAUGUUGAAAACUGUUGAUUUUGGAUAAACGCAAAGGAAGUGCAAGUCUAUCCAUCGGGAACAACUCUCACACUCUAUUUAACCAUUCUCUCAUGCACUUACAAGAGGGGAUUUGGAUAGCAUUAAGAGUGUUUUUAAUAACUUUUCGGAUUCUCCUUGCUGCUAACUUUACUAGAUUCUGGGAAGUAGAUGAAAAUUGGUAGCUUGAAAGCUGGGGACCAUGUUUGAUAAAUUGUGGUAUUAGUAUUUCACCUGAUUGGCAUUGGCAAAGCUCAAACGGAUGAAAACUACAAUAUAGGAGAAAAUGUGAGACUUUCUCCUGUUUUUUCCGUUAUCAAAUGCCCCUAACGUCUAACACCCUUAAGAAAGGGAUAGAGAGACAUCUCAUACUUCACUUAUUUCCUGCACGUUUCUUGCAGACAGAAAGGUGACUCUAAGCACAAUUUCGAUUUCAGAGUUGUGCGAACAUAGAGAGAACAAACAUGAGACGUCCUCACUUACUUGCUACAAGACUCAGAGAAGACCACAAGUGAAGGAAGGUGCCCUUAUAAUACUAGUGCACAUGCAUAUGCACCCAGCCAUUGCCAAGUCUUUUUUCCCUUUCUUUUAUAUCUUCUUUCUUUUGAGUAUGUAGUCUCUUCAAGGCCCAAAUGAAAGGUGCCUAAAUCUAUAUUUUCUUGGGUAAAUUGUAACAGGGAUUUAAAUUCCCUGGAGUUCCUCAUGAACCCAUUGAUUGUAAAAAUCCAUCAUUUCUUUUAAGUAUGUACGUGGUUGUUCUUUGAUGUGAGCAUUUCCCUUGAUUUUCUCAUUUUGCUGAAGUCAUGUUCGUAGAAAAAAGGUCUUUAUUUUUUGCACAUUUUGGAGAUGUAUUGUCAUCCCUAAUUAUAAAAUUUAAAGCUCCAAUAAUGAUGCAGAUUGAGCAAAUUUAUAAAUAAUUAACAUUUUAAAAAAUGGACAAUCCAAAUAAUGUGUCACAGAUUUGUCUAAUAUUAAUGUGUCACAAUCUUAUGUGUCAGAGUAUAUGACUGCCAUAUGGAAUUGUCUCUAUCACAUCUAAUUUAUUAAUUCUCAUUAAUUAAAAUCUAAAUUUAUUCUGAUUUUAUUAUCACUAAAACAAAUUAGAAAGUGCUAAUCUAAUAUUAAGCAUCAAUAUCGGCCAUGUCCUCUCUUUGAUUACCCCUUGCUCUCUCUAAAACAUUGAGUAAUUGUCCUCCAUAUCUCCUUCCAUAAUUUGAAAGCAUUAAUCUAAUAUUAAGCAUCAAUAUCGGAUAUUUCCUCUCUUUGAUUACCCCUUGCUCUCUCUAAAACAUUGAGUAAUUGUUGUGACUACUCAUCCGUCUCAUACAACUCUAAUAGGAGCUUCAUCUUUGUGUUUCUAUUAUUUUGUGUGUGUUGUUUUUUUUUUUUUUUUUUUGGAGGUAAUUGAGUGAGUGGGGAAGACAGGCCACUACCCAUUAUUUCAGAUUAGAGAGUUUGUUUGUUUGAAGGUGUCAUCAUUAGGAUUCAAAACCAUAUCAUGAUAACUAGGUAUGGGGUGCUAUCGUCGAGACCCAGCCCCUUUCCUAUUAUUAUUAUUUUAUAUGUUGCCUUCAGGUAGGUGCACAAACCUCUCUUCGUCUCAUUUUCUCUCUCUCUAAAUACCACCGGGUAAUAUCUCAAUGCCACCAACAAUUCAAUUGCCUAGAAAAACACCACUCCUCUCCACUUAGUUUUUUUUUUUCUGUUCUUUUCAAGAGAGGCCCUUCAGGUUUCUUCAGCGCUUCUAAAUCUCUAAGAUAAGGAGAUCUAUUGUCAUCCUUUAUGUUCACCUUACAUUAUUGAAUGCUUUAGUUUGAUGAAAAAUAUAGAGGAAAUAGUUAAUUUCACGACAUUCAUAUGCAAUAUGCAUAUGAUACACUCAUUUUCUAUAGGGCAAAUUUAGCACUAGUAAAUAAUAUUGUCACAUUUUUUAAUUGUUGUGAAGUGGCUCUUGGGCUGAAAGUUAAUUUGAAUAAGACAUCUAUGGUUGAGAUUGUAAUAAAAGAGUUAGCAAAAGCUAUAUGGGUAUAGGGUAGAUCACUUCCCUCUUACUUAUCUGAGAUUGCCUAUCUCAUAUAAGAGAUUAUCUUGUUCAGUUUGGGAUAAGGUUCUUCAAAGGAUUCAAGUGAAGUUGGAUCUUCGGAAACCUAAAUACUCGUCUUUGAGGGAAGAGCUACUUGCCUUCAAUCAUGUUUCGCUAAUCUCCCCAUUUAUCAGAUGUCAAUCAUUCAAUUGCCCACAUUAAUUGUUAAAAAAAUUGAAAGGAUAAUGCGGAAUUUCUUGUGGGGUACUUUUGGGGACGAAAGAAAAUAUUAUAUUCUAAGAUGGGAUAGGUUGUACUCCAAAAAGAAAAUAUGGUUUAGGUAUUAAAAAAAUAAAAUUGGUAAACCGAGCUCUUCUUUGUAAAUAGUGGUGGUGAAAUCUCCUUUUUAAAGAUCAGCUGUGGUAUAAAGUUCUGGCAGCAAAAUAUAGUAUUGAAAGACAAGGAAUGUGGCUAGGGCCUAGCCGGGGCAAUAACCAAUCCAUUUUUUGGAAACCUAUUGCUCUUUGUAAACCUCUGAUCGCAAGGAAUGUAAGAUGGAUCAUCAGUAAGGGGGAUUAGAUUGCCUUUUGACACCAUAAGUGAGUUUGGAACUAUUCUCUGAAGCUAAUGUUUCCAUAAAUUUUGAGAAAGUGAUAGACCCAAAUUAGGUGUCUGAGGUUUUUGAAGGUAUAGGCAAUCAAGUCAUUUGAGUGUGAAUUUUCCUUACAAUAGGCUUUGUGAUGCUCUUAUUUUGUAGUUAAGCUCUUGGCUGGAUAUUUUGCACAAAGUGUAUAUCCCACAUAAUUCGGAAUAUGAGAUCAUAUGGAAGUAUGAAAGUGAUAAGGUUUUUUCUGUGAAGUCCUGCUACAAGUUGUUAUUCCAUGAUAGAUGGCGAUCGACCUUGCUACAAGUAGCCCAAAUUUGGAAAUGGCUAGUACCUCAUAAAGUUCAAGUUUUUAUAUGGUUGGCUGCCCAAGAUAAGAUCUUUGCCAUUGAUAACUUGAUUAAAAGGGAGAAAAUUUUGCCAACUAUUUAUGUGAUGUACAAGGAAGAUGCAAGUCUUGUGCCUAUUCGUUUUUACACUGCCAUUUUGCUAUUAGGAUUUGGUCUUGGUUUUUCUUACUUUUGGAAAUUAAAAUGCAUUCGCCUCAAAUGUGGGAGAUUUAAAAGGAGCGAAAUAAAAAGGGAGAGCCUUCCUUCUGAUUGGGUUAUUAAUAAAAUAAAACACUCCUUAUGGUAUUGGUCGGCAGCCUCAAAGGAGGGAAAGGCUAUUAUUGAGGUGGAUGUGAUGUUUAAUCUCCAAAAUUUAUUGACCAUGGGAGUGGUCAGUAGCAAGCCAAGGAGUUUUUGGACUCCACCUCCACAAGGGAUGCUAAAACUAAAUUUUAAUGGUAACCCAUUUGGAAAUCCAGGUUUGGCUGGUUUCGGAAGCAUUGUUCAUGAUUGGAAUGGUCAAAUUGUAUUCACAUGUGUUGGGCCCUUAGGUGUUAGGUGAAACAAUUGCAAAUGUUUGCCAUUGUUCAUGGUCUAAAGAUUUUUUGUAACAAAAAUUAGAACAACCAUUGCGUGAUAGAAGGGGACUCUUUGGAUGCUACUAGGUGGUCCAACAAAGAGCAAAAGGUUCAUUGGGAGCUUAAAUCAAUUUGGCUACAUACUCUUGACUUGGUAGAAAAUUUGACUGUCUUUCUGGCAUAUUUUUAGGGAAGCUAACUAUUUAGUGGAUGUUUUAGAUAAAAGGGAAGAUGUUUUAGAUAAAAGGAGAGCUUCUUUGCUUUCGUUUACUAGUUUUGACCAUGUAAUCCCAUUUAGGUAACUUUCUUUAUUUCAAUAAACAAAGAUAUUGAGCGAGAGAGAGAGAGAGGGCAGAUUAUUUUCAUUGGGUUUUUUAUUUGCUUUAUUUUUUUCUUAUUUAAAAGAGAAAUGUCCCUUCAUGGUAAAAAAAUCAGAGAAUAAGAACAAAGUAAAUUUGAUUGUGUAAAAAAAUCGUUUUGGUGUGGAUUCCUUUGCAAAUCUUAAGAGUGUCUAUUCUCUCAACUCUUUUUUUUUUUGGUUUUUAUUAUUCUCAUUUUAUUUUCUCCCCACAACAUUAAUUUAAUUAAUAUUUGUAUUGAAUAAUUUUUAAGCAUUUGAUAAAACACUCAUGUUUAUCUUUAGAUUUAUUACUUUAAUGUUUUUGUUAACUAUAGAGUAUUUCAACAAACAUGCAAAUCUCACCAAGUUCGUGGAAAUCUAUGCUUUGAUUUUAUAUUGUAAAUUCCUACCAUGUAUUUUGUAAAGGUUGCAACCUGCACCACUGUUUGGGCUAGAACCUUGCUCCAGCUGAAUAACAAACCCUUUAGUAAGGUGAAAAGAAGAGUGAUCUCGUAUUAUCAAAUGAUGGUAUUUUCCUUUCAAUACUUUACCAUUAAUUUUUUAUAAUGUUUUUAUAAAUUAGUUUUUUAAGUCAAUUAUUUAUGAACUAAUUAUUCUCCUUGAAGUAAGAAUUAAAUCCACUUUCUUUGGAUGAUAGGUAAUGCUAAUCUAAGUGGACCGCAAGGCAUGCUAGCAUUGUAUUUUUAAAUAUCGGUAUUUUUUCUAAUACUUUGCUAUAAAUUUUUUAUUAUGAACUAUCUAAAUUUUCAAAUUCAUUUUGAUAGAACUUUUAAUUAAUAAUUCUGGCAUUAAAAAAGCGACUCCUUUUAAAGGUUUAGUUAGCAAUUUGUAAUUCCUAAUAUGAUUAUAUCAUUUUGUAUGUUAUAUUCUUUUUAAACAUUAUGCAUUCCGAGACUUUUGAAUAACUAUUAUUUUCAAUUGUAUAUUUUCAUUAUUCAUAAUUAACUUUUUUAUGUUCUCCACUUCUCUAGAAUAUCUUGUAAUUUUUUAAAAAAAAAUUUGCCUUUUCAUAAUUUAUUUAAAUUAAAUAAUCUAAUUAUUAAAUUUUGUAUUUUAGAAAUCAUUUAUGGCUAUCAUUUAAUUUUAUUAAUGAGUCGGAUUAAUAUGAUCUAAAUUACUUUAUGGGUGCAAUUUAUAUAAAUCCGAGGCAAUAUAGUGUUGAGAAAAGUGGUUCCAAUAUUAGAAAUUUUUUACCAACCUUAAAAUAUAUUUUUUAUACUUGAUUAUAAAAUUUAAAGCUAGAUAAGACAGAUCUAUGGAAGCUUGACUAACUUAAAAUUGACUAACUUUAAAAUUGACUGUCCAAAAAUGCAUUACAAGAUACAUUAUUUCCAAAAGUUGUAAUCUAUUUUUUUCUCAAAUCCAUGCAUCUUAAUGUCGAGAUUAUCAAUUUGAGGAUAUUUGGGCAACAAAACCACCUCUCUAGUGAAAUUUUUGAGGUACACUCUAAUUUGAUUGUGUAGAAACAAGGCCCUAUAUAAACUUUUCUUAUAUUCACACUUUAUAACAUUGUCAUAUCUAUAUAAUUUAUUAAAUUUUAUUGUUAUGUUUGAGCUAACAUAAAAAUUAAUUAACAUAUUGUUUUGGUUUGUUUUAAACCUUGAGAAAAAGGCAAAUCAAAUACGUGCCCUUGUACUCUCAAUUUUAUGUUCUUAAGGUUUAAAACAAACUAUCAUACAAGUUUUUUUAUUUAAAAAGGGGAGAGAGUUAUUAUAUAAGACAACUUUAAACAAUUAAAGAAAGGUGCAACUUUAUAACAUCAUGAAAGAUGCAAUUUCAAUACCAAAAAUCUUUGCAAUUACAUGAAAACCUAUUGUUAACUUUCUUUUAUAAAACUUAAAGCUUAAAAAUUUAUUAUCCUCCCUUUUUAUAAAAUUUAAAGCUCCAAAAAUGCUAUAGAUCAAGCAAAUAUAUAAACAAUCCAUAAAAUAUAUCACAAUGUACUAAUUUCAAAACUUAAAUUUCUUUUUUCUUCUAUAUCCAUAUCUCGACCUUAUAUCUCCACCUUAAGAUGUACUACUUUCGUGACUUGAAAUCUUACACUUUUCUUCCAUACAAAAACAAAGGAAAAGACAACCAAAAAUCCAGAUUAACUUGAGGGUGUUCCAGCAUUAUAACACACUCAGGGUUUUGAAUUAGCGUGGGUGCGUCUUACUUAACUCUAUAAGGUUGACACUUUUUUUUCCUUUGAAAAAACUCGUUGUGGGGUUAACCAAACAUCAAGUGGGAUUCAGGCGCACUAACCACUAGAGAGCCCAAGAACAGAAUCAUUUCUGGGGCAAUCCCAAUCUGGAUCAAUAUGAAUAACAAAAAAUCAAUUAAAAAUACAUAAAAAUCAAUUAAAAAUAUAUAUAAACCACUAAAUGAACUUCAUUUCAGAUAGAAGAAAAGUGAUCAAUGGACGUGAGUAAAAAAGAUAAAAAAGAGAAGAGAACCGCUGACCGUUUGAUCUAAAACCAACUCAGUAUUUAUUUUAAUUCUUUCCACAAAUCAUAUGAAUAUGAACCACUGAUUAUUUGAUCUAAAUCCGACAUGAGUACUUUAUUUUAAUUUUUUCUACAAAUCAUAUGAAUAUGAAAUUUGAUAAGAAGAUCUAAAGAAAUAUUAAAAUUUAUUUUUGAUAAAAAUACGACCAAAAUACCCCUAAAACUUUUAUGGGAAUUAUGAACAUUUUUUUUUAUUGGGUUUUUUUUUUUUAAUACGAGAGUUUAAGAGGACCAAAAUUUAGUGUCUCGCAGAAAAAAAUUAAAAAUAAAAUAGUGUAGAGGCAGAAAUAUAGAAAAGCCUGCCCAAAAAAUAAAUGUCUGCCCUAAGCUCUUAGAGGUCCUCCAAGAGAAAACUAUAACAACCAAGUCAAUGUGAAUUAACAUAAAAUAAAAAUAACAAAAAAACUCACAAGAGAAAGAUAGAAUAACAGCACAGACAAGCCAUCAAAAACCAUCAAAAGGAGUGCAACCAACCAGACAUUUUGAUACAUAGAGAAAGAGAGAGGGGGGGAGGCUGUUUCUCUCUUCAGAAGAGAGAGGAAGGCUCAGCAGGGUUGAGCGGAUGAAUGAGGUAAGUGAGGACCAAGGCCACCAACAUCAGCACGUAAGCAAUCCCCUGAUCAAUUGUUGUCCCUAUAAAACAUCAAUCCACAUGUCAAUCUACAUUAUUAUUACAAACUACUUCAAGAUUAGAUAUUGCUGCAAUUCAAAAACAAAAACAAAAACAAAAAAAUCCCAUUCCGUUAAAACAAAGGAAAAGACAACCAAUUACCUCAAGAUAUAGGGCUCAGAAUCAAGGGAAGGAUAGUCCAUAAAGAAAUUUUGCAAAACAAAGAAAACAAAAAGAGAAAAAGCACACAAUGGGGACAAGGGAAUGACAAAUAAUGUAUCAAAUCUCCAAAUGGAUGGUGGUGAUAAACUUUCGACCCUCUAGUACACUAUUCAAAUGGAUGGUUCAAGCGUAGCCAUCCUUGUAAAACUACAUGCCCAGAUUAUUGUUAGCAAAAUUGCUCGAUCUAACUGCUAACCACCCAGUUAGAUCGAAACCGGACAGUGGCCGGUUUAGGGUCAUCAACCGGUAUUUUAAAAAAAUAUUCAAAAAAAUGUAUAUAAGUUCUAAAACUUAAGGAAUUUGAUUUGUAAUAUAUUUUUAAAUAUAAAAUGGGUUAAAAUUCAUUUUUUUCGUCAAUUUUCAACUUCAUUUGAAUGUUUUUUGUUUUAGUCAUUUUUUAUAUGCUUCUUAUAUUUUAGUAGAUUUUUUUGUAUUUAUUUAUUUAUUUUUUACCGCCCCUUGCUCCGAUUAGAGCGGUUGAAUCGGCCGCAUAAACCGAGGCCCAUGUCCGGUUAACCUGUUCGAUUUUGCAGCCAGAUUAUACAAAAAAAGAAAUAAACAAAGAUCUCUCCAGUCCAAUGUUAAAUAUGAAAUAGGAAAAAAAAUAUAAAACAGAAAAUGCAGCAGGCUAAAACAAUAAUGUAAAUAUAUUGGAGUUAGAGACAUACGAAUAAUCUUUUAAAAUUUCUCAAAAGUAAAAAAUAAUCUUUUAAAAGCAAUAGAGAAGGAAGAAUGGGCAAGAAAAGCGACAAUUAAUGCAGGUGGGCCUUAGAAAAUAAAGCAACACAUCAACAAUUUUUUCCAUUAAUAUCGUUUUCAAUGAAAAGGAAAUCUCAUUUACAAACCAAAUCAAUGAUAACAUUGCAGACACAUGUGAAACAUAAUCUUGCACUACUGAUGGGCAAAGCCGAAAAAGAAAAACAGAGAUCAAAUAAAAAACACAGGAAAAUACCACAUGUAAUCACGACAAAGAGAAGAGUUGCUUCCGAUGAAACCAGAAGAGCAUAAGAUGUAACGGCAUUUAAAGAAAAUACCAGAUCCGGAUCCUAGAAACCACAUUCCACCCCAAAAAAAAAAAUAGAAAAAACCGUGAGCAGUAAACCACAUUCCCAUCAAGAAAACCUAAAAAAAAAAGAAAAUCACUGAUCAGAAAGAGAGAGAGAGAGANNNNNNNNNNNNNNNNNNNNNNNNNNNNNNNNNNNNNNNNNNNNNNNNNNNNNNNNNNNNNNNNNNNNNNGAGAGAGAGAGAGAGAGGAACGAAAGAAUGAAUAUGAGGCCGUGAAGAAAGCCUCUGCUCUUUGCAAAAGGCUCUCCACACGCCACAGGGAAGAAAAGGAGAAGACCUCUCUCUCUCUAAUAAAGAAAAAAAGGCCUCCUAGGGUUUCUUUAAUUUCUUAUUAGAAAGGAACAGAGGAAGAGAGAGAGAGUUCUGAAAACAAAAGCCUGUUUCAAUGAAAACAACUUCAUUAUACUGGUAUAUAUAUGAUGAGCGAAAC
rnacentral:lncRNA from 1 species